rfam:Schistosoma mattheei strain Denwood, Zambia genome assembly, scaffold: SMTD_scaffold0009316
AUCCAGCUGACGAGUUCCAAUUAGGACGAAACACGAGUCCUAGAU